UGGGGAAUAUUGGACAAUGGGGGCAACCCUGAUCCAGCCAUGCCGCGUGUGUGAAGAAGGCCUUUUGGUUGUAAAGCACCUUAAGCAGUGAAGAAGACUCCGUGGUUAAUACCCACGGACGAUGACAUUAGCUGCAGAAUAAGCACCGGCUAACUCUGUGCCAGCAGCCGCGGUAAUACAGAGGGUGCAAGCGUUAAUCGGAAUUACUGGGCGUAAAGCGUGCGUAGGUGGCUUGAUAAGUCAGAUGUGAAAUCCCCGGGCUUAACCUGGGAACUGCAUCUGAUACUGUUAGGCUAGAAUAAGUGAGAGGAAGGUAGAAUUCCAGGUGUAGCGGUGAAAUGCGUAGAGAUCUGGAGGAAUACCGAUGGCGAAGGCAGCCUUCUGGCAUCAUAUUGACACUGAGGUUCGAAAGCGUGGGUAGCAAACAG
rnacentral:rRNA from 1 species